rnacentral:rRNA from 1 species
UACGUAGGGUGCGAGCGUUGUCCGGAAUUAUUGGGCGUAAAGGGCUCGUAGGCGGUCCAUCGCGUCGGGAGUGAAAAGCUGGGGCUUAACCCCAGUCCUGCUUUCGAUACGGGUGGACUAGAGGUAGGCAGGGGAGAAUGGAAUUCCUGGUGUAGCGGUGAAAUGCGUAGAGAUCAUGAGGAAGACCAGUGGCGAAGGCGGGUCUCUGGACAGUUCCUGACACUGAGGCACGAAGGCCAGGGGAGCAAACGGG